GACUGCAUAGUGCAGUGGAUUAACGCGUUUGACUUUGGAUCAAAAGGUCGUGGGUUUGACUCCCACUGUAGUCA